CAAUAGCGUAUAUUUAAGUUGUUGCAGUUAAAAAGCUCGUAGUUGGAUUUCGGUUAAGAGCGACCGGUCCGCCGUUUGGUGUGCACUGGUUGGUUUUAACUUCCUGUAGAGGACGUGCUCUGGGUUUAACGACCUGGACUCGGAGUCUACGUGGUUACUUUGAAAAAAUUAGAGUGUUCAAAGCGGGCUUACGCUUGAAUAUUUCAGCAUGGAGUAACACUAUAGGACUCCUGUCCUAUUUCGUUGGUCUCGGGACGGGAGUAAUGAUUAAGAGGAACAGUUGGGGGCAUUCGUAUUUCAUUGUCAGAGGUGAAAUUCUUGGAUUUAUGAAAGACGAACUUCUGCGAAAGCAUUUGCCAAGGAUGUUUNCAUUAA
rnacentral:rRNA from 1 species